AUUGAACGCUGGCGGCAGGCCUAACACAUGCAAGUCGAGCGGCAGCGGGAAAGUAGCUUGCUACUUUUGCCGGCGAGCGGCGGACGGGUGAGUAAUGCCUGGGAAAUUGCCCAGUCGAGGGGGAUAACAGUUGGAAACGACUGCUAAUACCGCAUACGCCCUACGGGGGAAAGCAGGGGACCUUCGGGCCUUGCGCGAUUGGAUAUGCCCAGGUGGGAUUAGCUAGUUGGUGAGGUAAUGGCUCACCGAGGCGACGAUCCCUAGCUGGUCUGAGAGGAUGAUCAGCCACACUGGAACUGGGACACGGUCCAGACUCCUACGGGAGGCAGCAGUGGGGAAUAUUGCACAAUGGGGGAAACCCUGAUGCAGCCAUGCCGCGUGUGUGAAGAAGGCCUUCGGGUUGUAAAGCACUUCCAGCGAGGAGGAAAGGUUGUUGGCUAAUACCCAACAGCUGUGACGUUACUCGCAGAAGAAGCACCGGCUAACUCCGUGCCAGCAGCCGCCGCGGUAA
rnacentral:rRNA from 1 species